rnacentral:tRNA from 1 species
UAUUUUUAGGAAAUUUCCUUCUUCAAGGCCGAAACUUGAUGCAACACUUUGCUUUAAAAAC